CCAGAAAUUGGAAGACCUUUAUACUUAUCCAUGCAAAUCCUCUCUCAUUAACAUAUUUUUGGCUUCUAAUCUUUCAGACAUCCACUUUUGGCCUGUUUCGGAUAUCACACUGAAAUGUGUGAGACUUCCUUUUGGCAGAAAGCAUGCCGUAUUUCCAAUGCGACAUCUGCAGUGAUUUCUUACACUUCUAUUUACUAUUUUUCUGUUUCUGUUUAACCGUUCAAUGUUUGCUUUUAUUUCUUGCCAUUUAAAAAAAUUCAUUCGCUUUGCUUGUACUAAUGUGAGAAAUGUAUUCCUGAUCUCUUAAUUAUGUCAAAAUCGGAAUCAAUUGUACGUUCACAACUUUGUAUAUGCUCGACUUGUAAAACAGGCCGAUAUAUUCAGUUGUGUAUGUUCGUUGUCUUUCCUUUGAUGUCUUUGAGCUAUGGGAGGAUACUGUACUUCACUUUUUCCUUUAAGUUGACAGGUUUGCCGUCGUAGAGUUCCCCGAGGAGGACUGCAGCUUGGCACUUGUUCACGGUUCGUGGUUGAAUCCAAAAAGAAAUAGGACAUAUUGGCCUACUUUGAAAAAUUCAUCGCAGCGGCGUAGAGCCACUGUUGAGGGUGCUGCACCAUCUCCUAGCUAGACACAAGCCAACUGUGUGGCGAAAUCCUGGGCUGGUAAGGUCGCACAAUUGCUUGUGGGAUUUCCUAUUGUAAAGGUUUCCUUUUUCAGACACUUACGAAAAGGCAUGUGAGAAGCAGAAUUUCCUGCAAUAUCAUUCGGACAUGAGCUGCGAAGAGGAACUGGGAUGCGGAAAAAGAAAAAAAUGAAGUGCCUUGGCUUCUGAUUACAGCAGUGAGCAAGACACGACUGACGACUCGGGUGAUGACUCAAACUAUCGCCCUCCAAGGCCGCCAACACCACCUCAACUGGUAACAAACAUUGGUGGCUACGACUCAGCUGCUGCCCACGAGUCAUUCAAGAUGCCUGGACGACACCGAAAGAAACGCUCUGCAGGUGCAUCUGCGAGUCCUAGGCCUUCGUUCGGAAGAGCUGGUGGAUUCGAAACCGAAAGUGUGCCAUCGAGCCUUCAUGCUGGUGAAUGCCAAUUCUUCUUUCACAACGACACUUUUAUUGGACUUGUUCAAAUAUGCAUUUGUACUUUCCAGGACAGUCACCUUGCAUGCUUCCAGAGUUAUUUCUUUCUGGAGCUUGCAAUAAGGAUAAUUAAUGCAUGGUGUCACUCUCAAUUUCAGGCCCAUCUACCACUUCCUCAGGAUCAAGAACGGAUCCGCAAGUGCUUGGUAUGAUGUCAAUGUUUGACCUCUCAUGUUUGCUUUAAAUGGCGUGGUUGGUAGAUCUUGUCAACCAGAAUUUUGAGCAGUGUGACACAGCACACAGAUAAGACGCAUAGGAUGAAAUGCCGCCUGGGCUUGUUUUGUGUCAUGUGGCACUGUUCAACAUUCUGCUGUUUGUAAUGAGCGAUUUCUUGCCAGCAUACUUCUUCACUUUUUCAAUACACAUGCAUUGCUAAAUGAGGCACUGCUGACUUUCAAUAGUUCUGUAUGAGCAUUGCAGAUAUGUUGACAUAACUGAUCUUGAUGAGAAAAUAUUUUUUUCAACCUUUAUGGAGAGGAUAUUGUCCACCCUUAAUACAAUUAAGGUUGUGCAACAGGCGCACACACAGCUCUUGACAGAGCUGAAGAAUAAUGCUGAAGAAGCAUGCCCAGAGAACCAAAACCUUCCUGAUCAGCUGCCAUUUUUGACCACAAGAGACAUCCUUGAUUGGGAUGCUGAACUUGGGGUGAACAAAGAAGCUAAGCUUCGAAUGGUAAUGAAGCUGUUUGCCUUAAUUUUCUUACUGUUUCCCGCAAAACGGGGGGCAAGCUCGUUUUUUUUUUUUUUUUUUUUUU